rnacentral:tRNA from 1 species
UAUAUAUUGAUGUAUUGCCUAAAAAUUUUUGAAAUUUUUUGAAUUAAUUAAAUUUAAUAUAUAUAA